rnacentral:rRNA from 1 species
AUACGGAGGGUGCAAGCGUUAAUCGGAAUUACUGGGCGUAAAGCGUACGUAGGCGGUUCGUUAAGUCAGAUGUGAAAGCCCCGGGCUUAACCUGGGAACUGCAUUUAAAACUGGCGAACUAGAGUUGAGUAGAGGGGAGUGGAAUUUCAGGUGUAGCGGUGAAAUGCGUAGAGAUCUGAAGGAACACCAGAGGCGAAGGCGACUCCCUGGACUCGAACUGACGCUGAGGUACGAAAGCGUGGGUAGCAAACGGGAUUAGAAACCCUAGUAGUCC